rnacentral:lncRNA from 10 species
UGUGUUCUGCCAGGGACACAGUUUGUGGGGCAGGCCUGAGACCUUCCAUGUAGCUGGUGGGGAGUUGACUAGCUUUGCUUAUGCUCUCAAGUUGAUCCAUACAGUGCCAGAUUAUACCCUAUCAUAAGAGAUAGGGUCCCCUGAACACAAGAAGUCAUCUCCCCUUCUGGGACUGUGAACUCAAGAAAGCAGGAAGUAUGCCUCCCUUAUUCAUCACUGGGUCCCCAGUGCUUAGAACAGUGCCUGGCACAGAGACGGGGCUCUGUAAAGAUCUGCUGAAUGAACACUUUAU